ensembl:lncRNA
AUUUUCCAGCCUCCAGACUAAUAUUUUACACACAGAUAUCACAGACACUAACAUGUUACAACAGAUAUGUGAAAAGAACCUCCUGAAAGGCUCAAUAGCCUGGUAUCCUUCCUUCAGCAACAGGUGGCUGUGAGUCACCUCCCCUCACUGGGCCUCAGUUUCCCUAUUUGUAAAAUGAGGCAUUUGGGCUAGAUAACCCUUGAGUUCCUUUCUAGCUCUGGCAUUGCCCUCAGAUGCCCUAGUUCCUAGAGCAGUCAUUGGACAGGGGUCAUGGUGACUCCAGGAUCUGGGUCAAGUCCGCGCCUUGGAGCAUGGUGGAAUCGUGGCAAUGGCUGCAGCCCCCAGAAGAUGAGCCAGGCAGGAACUGGCUGAGAGAUUUUUCUGCUGAUGGUGAAAUGUCCUGGCGAGUCUGUGCAGCUGAUUAUUACAACAUGAUGGAUUGACUAGUUCAUUCUCUCCACUGAGCUGAGAGGAAACUCCCUCACCAUGUCUAGGUGCUGUUGGGUGAAAACAUGAUGCUUGGAGCUCUGACAGCCAUCUUGUGACCAGGAGGGGAAGGCCAGGAGAUCCAACUCUGUGCUGACUCCAGCUUGAACACCUGGCACCACUGACUUCUGGACUUUCUUUGAAAUAAAUAAAAUGUUCUUACUGUAAGUC